rnacentral:rRNA from 1 species
UAACGUAGGUGGCAAGCGUUGUCCGGAUUUACUGGGCGUAAAGAGCGCGCAGGCGGUCGUGCAAGUCGCGUGUGAAAGCCCCCGGCUACAACUGGGGAGGGUCACGCGAUACUGCUCGACUCGAAGGCAGGAGAGGGAAGUGGAAUUCCGGUGUAGUGGUGAAAUGCGUAGAUAUCAGGAGGAACACCAAUUGCGAAGGCAGCUCGUUGGGACGUUACUGACGCUGAGACGCGAAAGCGUGGGGGAGCAAAACAGG